ensembl:lncRNA
AUGGAACUGAAUGCAUUAGUCUCUCCCAAGCAUUAUCAUAACCCCAGGGAUAUGGAACUGAAUGCAUUAGUCUCUCCCAAGCAUUAUCAUAACCCCAGGGAUAUGGAACUGAAUGCAUUAGUCUCUCCCAAGCAUUAUCAUAACCCCAGGGAUAUGGAACUGAAUGCAUUAGUCUCUCCCAAGCAUUAUCAUAACCCCAGGGAUAUGGAACUGAAUGCAUUAGUCUCUCCCAAGCAUUAUCAUAACCCCAGGGAUAUGGAACUGAAUGCAUUAGUCUCUCCCAAGCAUUAUCAUAACCCCAGGGAUAUGGAACUGAAUGCAUUAGUCUCUCCCAAGCAUUAUCAUAACCCCAGGGAUAUGGAACUGAAUGCAUUAGUCUCUCCCAAGCAUUAUCAUAACCCCAGGGAUAUGGAACUGAAUGCAUUAGUCUCUCCCAAGCAUUAUCAUAACCCCAGGGAUAUGGAACUGAAUGCAUUAGUCUCUCCCAAGCAUUAUCAUAACCCCAGGGAUAUGGAACUGAAUGCAUUAGUCUCUCCCAAGCAUUAUCAUAACCCCAGGGAUAUGGAACUGAAUGCAUUAGUCUCUCCCAAGCAUUAUCAUAACCCCAGGGAUAUGGAACUGAAUGCAUUAGUCUCUCCCAAGCAUUAUCAUAACCCCAGGGAUAUGGAACUGAAUGCAUUAGUCUCUCCCAAGCAUUAUCAUAACCCCAGGGAUAUGGAACUGAAUGCAUUAGUCUCUCCCAAGCAUUAUCAUAACCCCAGGGAUAUGGAACUGAAUGCAUUAGUCUCUCCCAAGCAUUAUCAUAACCCCAGGGAUAUGGAACUGAAUGCAUUAGUCUCUCCCAAGCAUUAUCAUAACCCCAGGGAUAUGGAACUGAAUGCAUUAGUCUCUCCCAAGCAUUAUCAUAACCCCAGGGAUAUGGAACUGAAUGCAUUAGUCUCUCCCAAGCAUUAUCAUAACCCCAGGGAUAUGGAACUGAAUGCAUUAGUCUCUCCCAAGCAUUAUCAUAACCCCAGGGAUAUGGAACUGAAUGCAUUAGUCUCUCCCAAGCAUUAUCAUAACCCCAGGGAUAUGGAACUGAAUGCAUUAGUCUCUCCCAAGCAUUAUCAUAACCCCAGGGAUAUGGAACUGAAUGCAUUAGUCUCUCCCAAGCAUUAUCAUAACCCCAGGGAUAUGGAACUGAAUGCAUUAGUCUCUCCCAAGCAUUAUCAUAACCCCAGGGAUAUGGAACUGAAUGCAUUAGUCUCUCCCAAGCAUUAUCAACACCUCAGGGAUAUGGAACUGAAUGCAUUAGUCUCUCCCAAGCAUUAUCAUAACCCCAGGGAUAUGGAACUGAAUGCAUUAGUCUCUCCCAAGCAUUAUCAUAACCCCAGGGAUAUGGAACUGAAUGCAUUAGUCUCUCCCAAGCAUUAUCAUAACCCCAGGGAUAUGGAACUGAAUGCAUUAGUCUCUCCCAAGCAUUAUCAUAACCCCAGGGAUAUGGAACUGAAUGCAUUAGUCUCUCCCAAGCAUUAUCAUAACCCCAGGGAUAUGGAACUGAAUGCAUUAGUCUCUCCCAAGCAUUAUCAUAACCCCAGGGAUAUGGAACUGAAUGCAUUAGUCUCUCCCAAGCAUUAUCAUAACCCCAGGGAUAUGGAACUGAAUGCAUUAGUCUCUCCCAAGCAUUAUCAUAACCCCAGGGAUAUGGAACUGAAUGCAUUAGUCUCUCCCAAGCAUUAUCAUAACCCCAGGGAUAUGGAACUGAAUGCAUUAGUCUCUCCCAAGCAUUAUCAUAACCCCAGGGAUAUGGAACUGAAUGCAUUAGUCUCUCCCAAGCAUUAUCAACACCUCAGGGAUAUGGAACUGAAUGCAUUAGUCUCUCCCAAACAUUAUCAUAACCCCAGGGAUAUGGAACUGAAUGCAUUAGUCUCUCCCAAGCAUUAUCAUAACCCCAGGGAUAUGGAACUGAAUGCAUUAGUCUCUCCCAAGCAUUAUCAUAACCCCAGGGAUAUGGAACUGAAUGCAUUAGUCUCUCCCAAGCAUUAUCAUAACCCCAGGGAUAUGGAACUGAAUGCAUUAGUCUCUCCCAAGCAUUAUCAUAACCCCAGGGAUAUGGAACUGAAUGCAUUAGUCUCUCCCAAGCAUUAUCAUAACCCCAGGGAUAUGGAACUGAAUGCAUUAGUCUCUCCCAAGCAUUAUCAUAACCCCAGGGAUAUGGAACUGAAUGCAUUAGUCUCUCCCAAGCAUUAUCAUAACCCCAGGGAUAUGGAACUGAAUGCAUUAGUCUCUCCCAAGCAUUAUCAUAACCCCAGGGAUAUGGAACUGAAUGCAUUAGUCUCUCCCAAGCAUUAUCAUAACCCCAGGGAUAUGGAACUGAAUGCAUUAGUCUCUCCCAAGCAUUAUCAUAACCCCAGGGAUAUGGAACUGAAUGCAUUAGUCUCUCCCAAGCAUUAUCAUAACCCCAGGGAUAUGGAACUGAAUGCAUUAGUCUCUCCCAAGCAUUAUCAUAACCCCAGGGAUAUGGAACUGAAUGCAUUAGUCUCUCCCAAGCAUUAUCAUAACCCCAGGGAUAUGGAACUGCAUGCAUUAGUCUCUCCCAAGCAUUAUCAUAACCCCAGGGAUAUGGAACUGAAUGCAUUAGUCUCUCCCAAGCAUUAUCAUAACCCCAGGGAUAUGGAACUGAAUGCAUUAGUCUCUCCCAAGCAUUAUCAUAACCCCAGGGAUAUGGAACUGAAUGCAUUAGUCUCUCCCAAGCAUUAUCAUAACCUCAGGGAUAUGGAACUGAAUGCAUUAGUCUCUCCCAAGCAUUAUCAUAACCCCAGGGAUAUGGAACUGAAUGCAUUAGUCUCUCCCAAGCAUUAUCAUAACCCCAGGGAUAUGGAACUGAAUGCAUUAGUCUCUCCCAAGCAUUAUCAUAACCCCAGGGAUAUGGAACUGAAUGCAUUAGUCUCUCCCAAGCAUUAUCAUAACCCCAGGGAUAUGGAACUGAAUGCAUUAGUCUCUCCCAAGCAUUAUCAUAACCCCAGGGAUAUGGAACUGAAUGCAUUAGUCUCUCCCAAGCAUUAUCAUAACCUCAGGGAUAUGGAACUGAAUGCAUUAGUCUCUCCCAAGCAUUAUCAUAACCCCAGGGAUAUGGAACUGAAUGCAUUAGUCUCUCCCAAGCAUUAUCAUAACCCCAGGGAUAUGGAACUGAAUGCAUUAGUCUCUCCCAAGCAUUAUCAUAACCCCAGGGAUAUGGAACUGAAUGCAUUAGUCUCUCCCAAGCAUUAUCAUAACCCCAGGGAUAUGGAACUGAAUGCAUUAGUCUCUCCCAAGCAUUAUCAUAACCCCAGGGAUAUGGAACUGAAUGCAUUAGUCUCUCCCAAGCAUUAUCAUAACCCCAGGGAUAUGGAACUGAAUGCAUUAGUCUCUCCCAAGCAUUAUCAUAACCUCAGGGAUAUGGAACUGAAUGCAUUAGUCUCUCCCAAGCAUUAUCAGAACUGA